CAACUGAGAAGCACAGGCAGUACAAGACACCUGGCAAUCACUAAAGUAAAAUGAAAGGUAUUGUUUUGAAAAAUCUCAGAAAAGGUCCCUCCAACAAAGAGAAGAAGAGGUAGCUUCAGUUCCUAGCUGUGCAACACACCUCCUGUGUCACCUUGGGCAAGUCAGUUUAUCUCUGCAUCUCAGUUCCCCACCUGAAAGCUUCCUUAAAGCAAACUGAUCAAGGAACUCCAAUGACACCUAAAGCCUGGAAACAAGAGAGACUGAGAGACCUAACUUGCACUUGUCAAUUUACUAUAACUAGUUUGAUAUUAAGGAUUAUGGUCCAG